UGGUGGCGACCGGCGCACGGGUGCGUAACGCGUAUGCAACCUACCUUUAACAGGGGGAAUAACACUGAGAAAUGUACUAAUACCCCAUAAUAUCAUAGAAGGCAUCUUUUAUGGUUGAAAAUUCCGAUGGUUAGAGAUGGGCAUGCGUUGUACUAGCUAGUUGGUGGGGUAACGGCUCACCAAGGCGACGGUACAUAGGGGGACUGAGAGGUUAACCCCCCACACUGGUACUGAGACACGGACCAG
rnacentral:rRNA from 1 species